CUGGCGGCGUGCUUAACACAUGCAAGUCGAACGGAAAGGCCCUGCUUUUGUGGGGUGCUCGAGUGGCGAACGGGUGAGUAACACGUGAGUAACCUGCCCUUGACUUUGGGAUAACUUCAGGAAACUGGGGCUAAUACCGGAUAGGAGCUCCUGCUGCAUGGUGGGGGUUGGAAAGUUUCGGCGGUUGGGGAUGGACUCGCGGCUUAUCAGCUUGUUGGUGGGGUAGUGGCUUACCAAGGCUUUGACGGGUAGCCGGCCUGAGAGGGUGACCGGCCACAUUGGGACUGAGAUACGGCCCAGACUCCUACGGGAGGCAGCAGUGGGGAAUAUUGCACAAUGGGCGGAAGCCUGAUGCAGCAACGCCGCGUGCGGGAUGACGGCCUUCGGGCUGUAAACCGCUUUCGCCUGUGACGAAGCGUGAGUGACGGUAAUGGGUAAAGAAGCACCGGCUAACUACGUGCCAGCAGCCGCGGUGAUACGUAGGGUGCGAGCGUUGUCCGGAUUUAUUGGGCGUAAAGGGCUCGUAGGUGGUUGAUCGCGUCGGAAGUGUAAUCUUGGGGCUUAACCCUGAGCGUGCUUUCGAUACGGGUUGACUUGAGGAAGGUAGGGGAGAAUGGAAUUCCUGGUGGAGCGGUGGAAUGCGCAGAUAUCAGGAGGAACACCAGUAGCGAAGGCGGUUCUCUGGGCCUUUCCUGACGCUGAGGAGCGAAAGCGUGGGGAGCGAACAGGCUUAGAUACCCUGGUAGUCCACGCUGUAAACGGUGGGUACUAGGUGUGGGGUCC
rnacentral:rRNA from 1 species